AUUGAACGCUGGCGGCAGGCCUAACACAUGCAAGUCGAGCGGGGUUUUCGGACCUAGCGGCGGAUGGGUGAGUAAUGCGUAGGAGGCUGCCCGAUAGAGGGGGAUACCAGUUGGAAACGACUGUUAAUACCGCAUAAUGUCUACGGACCAAAGUGUGGGACCUUCGGGCCACAUGCUAUCGGAUGCGCCUACGUGGGAUUAGCUAGUUGGUGAGGUAAUGGCUCACCAAGGCGACGAUCUCUAGCUGGUGUGUGAGGAUGAUCAGCCACACUGGAACUGAGACACGGUCCAGAGUCCUACGGGAGGCAGCAGUGGGGAAUAUUGGACAAUGGGCGCAAGCCUGAUCCAGCCAUGCCGCGUGUGUGAAGAAGGCCUUCGGGUUGUAAAGCACUUUCAGCGAGGAGGAAGGGUGGUGUGUUAAUAGCACAUCAUUUUGACGUUACUCGCAGAAGAAGCACCGGCUAACUCUGUGCCAGCAGCCGCAGUAACAC
rnacentral:rRNA from 1 species